rnacentral:rRNA from 1 species
UGAAUACGAGACGCUAAGGCGUCGAAGUAGUGUAUGUCAUACUUCCAAGAAAAGCUUGCACUGUCAUAGAUAAAAAACGCCUGUACCAUAACCGACACAGGUGGGUAGGUAGAGUAUACUAAGGGGCGCGAGAUAACUCUCUCUAAGGAACUCGGCAAAAUAACUCCGUAACUUCGGGAGAAGGAGUGCCUUAUUUAUAAGGCUGCAAUAACAAGAUCCAAGCAACUGUUUAUCAAAAACACAGGUCUCCGCUAAGUCGUAAGACGAUGUAUGGGGGCUGACGCCUGCCCAGUGCCAGAAGGUUAAAGAAGUUGGUUAGCUUUUGCGAAGCUGAUAACUGAAGCCCUGGUGAACGGCGGCCGUAACGAUAACGGUCCUAAGGUAGCGAAAUUCCUUGUCGGGUAAGUUCCGACCCGCACGAAAGGCGUAAUGAUUUGGAUACUGUCUCGGAGAGGGGCUCGGUGAAAUAGACUUGUCUGUGAAGAUGCGGACUACCUGCACCAGGACAGAAAGACCCUAUGAAGCUUUACUGUAACUUGAAAUUGAAAUUGGACUUUAUUCGCGCAGCAUAGGUGGGAGGCGUUGAUUAUAAUCUCGUGGGAUUAUUGGAGCCAUCAGUGAGAUACCACUCUUGUAAUGUUAGAUUUCUAACUUUGAAUCAUUAUCUGGUCAAAGAACAGUUUCAGGCGGGCAGUUUGACUGGGGCGGUCGCCUCCUAAACGGUAACGGAGGCGUACAAAGGUUUCCUCUGAACGGUUAGAAAUCGUAUCUAGAGUGUAAAGGCAUAAGGAAGCUUGACUGUGAGACCUACAAGUCGAGCAGGGACGAAAGUCGGUCUUAGUGAUCUGACGGUACUGAGUGGAAAGGCCGUCACUCAACGGAUAAAAGUUACUCUAGGAUAACAGGCUGAUCUCCCCCAAGAGUUCACAUCGACGGGGAGGUUUGGCACCUUGAUGUCGGCUCAUCGCAUCCUGGGGCGGUAGUACGUCCCAAGGGUUGGGCUGUUCGCCCAUGAAAGCGGUACGCGAGCUGGGUUCAGAACGUCGUGAGACAGUUCGGUCCAUAUCCGGUGUAGGCGUUAGAAUAUUGAGAGGAGCCUUCUUUAGUACGAGAGGACCGAGAAGGACAUACCUCUGGUGUACCAGUUAUCGUGCCAACGGUAAACGCUGGGUAGCUAUGUAUGGAGUGGAUAACCGCUGAAAGCAUCUAAGUGGGAAGCCCACCUCAAGAUAAGUAUUCUCA